UUUAGCAAAUAGGUUGUUUUCUACUACCUUCUUGAGAAUUUGAACAAUUUUUAAUAUUUUUCCCAGAUUUAUAGAGAAAUUCAGAAUAACUUUGGAGAGCUAAAGAAGAUAGAUUGCUGAUAACAGAUGUGGGAUGGACAACAUCUCAAAAGACCAGCACCCUAAAGAAAGGAAAACAGUCACAACAAGCA
rnacentral:lncRNA from 1 species